rnacentral:rRNA from 1 species
GUGUCAGCAGCCGCGGUAAUACAGAGGGUGCGAGCGUUGUUCGGAAUUACUGGGCGUAAAGCGCGCGCAGGCGGCUCUUUAAGUCUGACGGUGAAAUGCCGGGGCUCAACCCCGUGCCCGCCGCGGAUACUGGAGAGCUGGAGACACGUAGAGGCAAGCGGAAUUCCGGGUGUAGCGGUGGAAUGCGUAGAGAUCCGGAAGAACACCGGAGGCGAAGGCGGCUUGCUGGGCGUAGUCUGACGCUGAGGCGCGAAAGCGUGGGGAGCGAACAGGAUUAGAAACCCUGGUAGUCC